UCGAUUAUUAAAUUCAGUUAUGGUUCCUUAGAUCGUUUCUUCCUACUUGGAUAACUGUGGCAAUUCUAGAGCUAAUACAUGCAGUGAGCCUGAAGCCCUUUGGGCGACGGGUGCUUUUAUUAGACCAAGAUCGAUCGGGUUUCGGCCCGUAUUGUGUGGUGACUCUGGAUAACUUUGUGCUGAUCGCAUGGCCACGAGCCGGCGACGUUUCUUUCAAGUGUCUGCCUUAUCAACUUUCGAUGGUAGGUUACUUGCUUACCAUGGUUGUUACGGGUAACGGAGAAUCAGGGUUCGAUUCCGGAGAGGGAGCCUGAGAAACGGCUACCACAUCCAAGGAAGGCAGCAGGCGCGCAAAUUACCCACUCCCGGCACGGGGAGGUAGUGACGAAAAAUAACAAUACGGGACUCUUUUGAGGCCCCGUAAUUGAAAUGAGUACACUCUAAAUCCUUUAACGAGGAUCAAUUGGAGGGCAAGUCUGGUGCCAGCAGCCGCGGUAAUUCCAGCUCCAAUAGCGUAUACUAAAGCUGCUGCGGUUAAAAAGCUCGUAGUUGGAUCUCAGUUCCAGACGAGUAGUGCAUCUACCCGAUGCGACGGCUCGGACUGAACAUCAUGCCGGUCCUUUCUUGGUGCACUUCAUUGUGUGCCUCGAGAAGGCCGGUGCUUUUACUUUGAAAAAAUUAGAGUGCUCAACGCAGGCGAGUCGCCUGAAUAAACUUGCAUGGAAUAAUAGAACAAGACCUCGUUUCUGUUCUGUUGGUUUUUGGAAUACGAGGUAAUGAUUAAGAGGGACAGACGGGGGCAUUC
rnacentral:rRNA from 1 species